rnacentral:misc_RNA from 1 species
GAUGAAUUAGAUCGGAAAAAGUAUCCACGUAUGCCAUGGCAUGAUGUCCAUUGUGCUCUCUGGGGACCACCGUGCCGUGAUGCUGCUCGACACUUCGUUCAACGGUGGAAUUAUGCAAAGAGGAACAAAGCUCCACGUGAGCAAGCAAUUCCGCUGCUUAUGCCUCAGCAUCACAUGGUUAUUCCUCAUUACAUGGGAAUGAGCAGUGAGAUGGACAAUGGAAGUAAUGGUGUUGCGCGUCCUCAUAAAAAUAUCAAAAGACACGAUUCAUUU